rnacentral:rRNA from 1 species
CCUACGGGAGGCAGCAGUGAGGAAUAUUGGUCAAUGGACGAGAGUCUGAACCAGCCAAGCCGCGUGAAGGAUGACUGCCCUAUGGGUUGUAAACCUCUUUUGUCUGGGAAUAAAACACGGGAUGAAUACCGUCCUGCAUGUACCAUAUGAAUAAGCAUCGGCUAACUCCGUGCCAGCAGCCGCGGUAAUACGGAGGAUGCGAGCGUUAUCCGGAUUUAUUGGGUUUAAAGGGAGCGUAGGAGGUCUGUUAAGUCAGCGGUAAAAUUUCGGGGCUCAACCCGGUAGAGCCGUUGAAAAUGGCAGACUUGAGUUGGCGAGAAGUACGCGGAAUGCGCGGUGUAGCGGUGAAAUGCAUAGAUAUCGCGCAGA